UGGACCUACGGGAGGCAGCAGUGGGGAAUAUUGCACAAUGGGCGAAAGCCUGAUGCAGCAACGCCGCGUGAGCGAUGAAGGCCUUCGGGUCGUAAAGCUCUGUCCUCAAGGAAGAUAAUGACGGUACUUGAGGAGGAAGCCCCGGCUAACUACGUGCCAGCAGCCGCGGUAAUACGUAGGGGGCUCGCGUUAUCCGGAAUUACUGGGCGUAAAGGGCGCGUAGGUGGUUUCUUAAGUCAGAGGUGAACGGCUACGGCUCCACCGUAGUAAGCCUUUGAACCUGGGAACCUUGAUUGCAGGAGAGG
rnacentral:rRNA from 1 species